ACUCAGAGACUGAGGAAACUGGGACGCUAUACUGCCAGAUCCAGCUCUGUGACGGAGGAACCCGCGAGUGCUUUCCAAGAAUACAUCAAAGGCAUGACACGAUCACACAGGGAGAGUGAUAUCUGUCCUCGUCCAAAGUCAUUUAUACGGCCAGUUUUUGAUCAUCCUCACACGAGGAACUUGAAGA